rnacentral:rRNA from 1 species
AUUGAACGCUGGCGGCAUGCCUUACACAUGCAAGUCGAACGGCAGCGGGGGAGAAGCUUGCUUUUCCUGCCGGCGAGUGGCGAACGGGUGAGUAAUACAUCGGAACGUGCCCUGUAGUGGGGGAUAACUAGUCGAAAGAUUAGCUAAUACCGCAUACGACCUGAGGGUGAAAGUGGGGGACCGCAAGGCCUCAUGCUAUAGGAGCGGCCGAUGUCUGAUUAGCUAGUUGGUGGGGUAAAGGCCUACCAAGGCGACGAUCAGUAGCUGGUCUGAGAGGACGAUCAGCCACACUGGGAAGGGGACAGGGCCCAGACUCCUACGGGAGGCAGCAGUGGGGAAUUUUGGGCAAUGGGCGAAAGCCUGAUCCAGCAAUGCCGCGUGUGUGAAGAAGGCCUUCGGGUUGUAAAGCACUUUUGUCCGGAAAGAAAUGGCUCUGGUUAAUGCCUGGGGUCGAUGACGGUACCGGAAGAAUAAGGACCGGCUAACUACGUGCCAGCCGCCGCCGUAA